GACAUAUUUUUUAAAUAGUUUGAGCAUAAUUUAUAAAUUUUAUGAAAUAUCAUAUAUAAUAGCUAUGAAUAGGAAAAAAAAAAAAAAAAAGGAUAAAAUAAGUUAUAUAAAAUUUGUAUGAUAUAUAAUACCUAUCAUAAAUGUUUAAGCAGCAUAUUAUUAUAAUUUCUUUAUUCUGUUUAUAUUAUUCUUUUCACCUUCUAAUUUUUUUUUUUAUUGUUAUUCUUUUAUUAUUAAUAAGUUUUUGUUAUAAUGUUCUUAAAUAUUUUUAUAAAGUACUAUUUUUUCAUAUGAUUAGAAAUUUUUAAAGAGGAAAAAAGGUUUACUUACACAGUGAUUUUAUUUUGCUUCUUAUUAUAAACAUGACUAGUAACUUAAUUAUCCUAAUCAUAUUAAUGUGGAUUUAUAUAUAUAUAUAUAUAUAUAUAUAU
rnacentral:sRNA from 1 species